rnacentral:rRNA from 1 species
GUACACUCCUACGGGAGGCAGCAGUGAGGAAUAUUGGACAAUGGGUGGAAGCCUGAUCCAGCCAUCCCGCGUGCAGGAAGACGGCCCUAUGGGUUGUAAACUGCUUUUAUCUGGGGAUAAACCUACUUACGUGUAAGUAGCUGAAGGUACCAGAAGAAUAAGCACCGGCUAACUCCGUGCCAGCAGCCGCGGUAAUACGGAGGGUGCAAGCGUUAUCCGGAUUUAUUGGGUUUAAAGGGUCCGUAGGCGGACUGAUAAGUCAGUGGUGAAAUCCGACAGCUUAACUGUCGAACUGCCAUUGAUACUGUUAGUCUUGAGUAAGGUUGAAGUGGCUGGAAUAAGUAGUGUAGCGGUGAAAUGCAUAGAUAUUACUUAGAACACCAAUUGCGAAGGCAGGUCACUAAGUCUUAACUGACGCUGAUGGACGAAAGCGUGGGGAGCGAACAGGAUUAGAAACCCGGGUAGUCCCAUGAU